CUGGUCCUGGCUGCCUUCGUGAUGUCGUGCUGUACCAAGUGCUUCAACUUACUCAUGUGAGAUUUUUGUGGUGAAUCCAAUGCUGGAAAAGAGCCCACAGGAGGAGAAACUUGGUUACACAAUCACAGUUGACAGUAUACAUAGCUCAGUUGUAUACAACUUGACUGGCAUGCAUGUGACCAUGUGCAUGAUGAAUCCGUGAUGGUGGACUGGAAAGCGCAGUGGAGACCACAAGAAGUUAGAUAAGCCAGGCUUGUGGAACAUCUGAGAAAAUCUGCAAGUAUACGGCAAAUCCAGCCAAAUAGUGAAGCCAUGAGAGCUGCACCCCUCCAGCAUUACCCGAGGGCCAGGACCCAAGCCAUUUGGGGCUAGCAUCAUCACAUCUAGCCCCAGGUCUGGACAUAUAGUUAUGGGAUUUAAUGUUUGUGCUCCUGUGUUCAG
rnacentral:lncRNA from 1 species